GACAUUACUGCUGUUAUAUGGAAGGAGAAUAUAAAUAAGGUAAAAUAAAUAAUAGAUGUAGCUCUUGCCUUUUUUUUUUUUUUUUUCAAAUAGACACACAACACACAUUUUUUUCAUCUGGCAAUUUAUAAUUUAAAUCUAAUUUCAUAAUUUAUACAAAAUUGAAUAUUAACCGUCAAGAACUUUCAGACCCCUCCUCUCUUACGGCUUAUAAAAGGCCCUUCAUUUCUCUUAGAUUCUACAAGUCGUUUGCUUUCGUUAUAGUGUAGCUCUUUGUGGUCAGUCUUUGAGAUCUGGGCUAUGACAUGAUUCUUUAUGUCUAUGUUAAGAGUCAUGCAGAUCUGUGUGCUUGCUUAACUAAGCUAAGCUGCAGACGGAGACGAAUAACUGAGGCCUUAACGAAUGUAGGUAAGUGAGCUUUCUUCAGUCCACUCAUAGGUGGCAAUAAGAUUCAAUUAGCUGCCGACUCAUUCAUCCAAAUGCUGAGUAAUACUCUGGAAGGUACUCAUCAAAUGAGUGAAUGAUGCGGGAGACAAAUUGAUUCUUAAGUUUCCUGUACUUGGACUGAAGGGAGCUCCCUUUUCCUUUCUAUGUAAGAUCCAGCUCCUAUUUUUUCUUUCUGCCAUGACAUAUCUAAGAUUUUGGAGAUGGUAAGUGAAGACAUGUUGUCAUAAGUAUACAAGCAAAGGUUUCAUAAUGUUUUUUUUUUCUUUCUUAACUGACCUGUUUUUCUAUAUACUAAAAGUUUGACAUGCAAGGGUUUUGACAGUAUUUGCUUUUAAAGUGGUCUGUGCUUAUGGAUGCCAAGAGGUUUGUUGAUAACAGCUUUCCAAUUAGGGAUAGAUUUAAGGUUGCCGAUUGAGACUCUUUUCUGGUGAAAUGCAUGGCUGAUGAGGGUUUUUGAUACAAGGUUAAACUGCUUCUUUCCAACAAAAGCUAUUCAAGUUCCAAGUAGUAACUGGAGUCUACGCAUGAGAGACAUGUUAGCUCGAGCCCAUACUCAAACCAAGUACAACUUCACCUCAUCUCGGGUCGCGCUCUUCUCAGCAACAAGUUCCUAGACAUGGUGUCUGCCACCAGCUUGUUUAAUUACUAACAUGUCCUUGUUUAUUUCUUCCUAAUUUUUUUAUGUUUUGAUUCAGUAAGUAGAGUUAUAUUUAGCAGAAGAAAGUUAUUAUUAACAAUUUUGUAAAUGACAUGAGUCUUACUCUUUCUGAU